CACAGUAUAAUUAGCCAUCAUUCAGUAUAACUACCUAGGUAGUGUGGUUGCUCAGGCGGCCUCCACCGCACGUGAUUACCUCUAUAAGAAACUGUUGGGGGGAUUGGAUUGGGUGAUUUGUACCCUCUAUACCACCACGGCGCUGGUGGUGAUUGAGCUCUUUUGCCCUAGUGGCCUAAUAGGUUAUGAGCCCGGGUGGAGGAGAUUGAUGGUUAGGCACCCAGGAAGACCCCAGACCACCAAGGACCAAUGGCAGUAGAGUAGUGGAACUUAGAAAGAGCCAGGUUCCCCCAGCUGGCCGGAUGGUAGAGUGGGUCUGAGGGGGGGUGUUGGAGGGAUUGGAUUGGGUGAUUCGUACCCUCUAUACCACCACGGCGCUGGUGGUGAUUGAGCUCUUUUGCCCUAGUGGCCUAAUAGAAACAAGCCCCAAGGCAAAAGGAUUCUCAAGAACUCUUAUUUGAUUCCUUGAUUAACUAUUCUAUCUCUCUAAAGAAAAAGAAAACAAAAUAAGAGGGAUCUUCUUUUAAAAAGUGAAAACAAACAGAUCAACAAGAGAAAGAAAGUAACAAGAGUGUUCUUAAGAAUUCUUGAAGAAGAGAGGAUUAGAGUAAGAAAGAAAUCUAGCUAUCUUCUCUCUCUAGCGAUCGCACAAUGAGAAGAUUAACCAUCCCACAGC
rnacentral:sRNA from 1 species